CAGCCGUAAACUAUGCGCGUUAGGUGUACUGGUGACCACGAGUCACCGGGGUGCCGAAGGGAAACCGUGAAACGUGCCGCCUGGGAAGUACGGUCGCAAGGCUGAAACUUAAAGGAAUUGGCGGGGAGCACCACAACGGGUGGAGCCUGCGGUUUAAUUGGACUCAACGCCGGAAAUCUCACCGGAUAGGACAGACAUAUGAUAGUCGGGCUGAAGACUCUACUUGAUGAUCUGAGAGGUGGUGCAUGGCGUCAGUGACU
rnacentral:rRNA from 1 species